AACGAACGCUGGCGGCAUGCCUAACACUUGCAAGUCGAACGAGACCUUCGGGUCUAGUGGCGCACGGGUGCGUAACGCGUGGGAACCUGCCCUUAGGUUCGGAAUAACUCCCCGAAAGGGGUGCUAAUACCGGAUAAUGUCUUCGGACCAAAGAUUUAUCGCCUUUGGAUGGGCCCGCGUUGGAUUAGCUAGUUGGUAGGGUAAAAGCCUACCAAGGCGACGAUCCAUAGCUGGUCUGAGAGGAUGAUCAGCCACACUGGGACUGAGACACGGCCCAGACUCCUACGGGAGGCAGCAGUGGCGAAUAUUGGACAAUGGGCUAAAGCCUGAUCCAGCAAUGCCGCGUGAGUGAUGAAGGCCUUAGGGUUGUAAAGCUCUUUUACCCGGGAUGAUAAUGACAGUACCGGGAGAAUAAGCUCCGGCUAACUCCGUG
rnacentral:rRNA from 1 species